rnacentral:sRNA from 1 species
UUUCCGGCUGGAAUGGGGAAUUUGUGAGGUAGGCCGGAAGUGGUGUUGCGGAGGGAACUGUGGGGAGAGCAGAGGGGCAGCUCUGCUGGAGAGACCUGAGGCUUGCAUCGCUGGGCCCGGCCGGGUCGCUGCGGCUGGGCUGGAGCCAAGGUUAACUAUUUGUAACAUGUCAUCUUUCAAGGAAGCAUCUAACCAAGAUUAAGUCAAAGGCAUCUACCAGGUCCUGAAUUCUCUCCCAGAUGCACACCUUUUAAGGUCAAGGAUGCAUUCCAGGAAAGUUCUAUAAAAAUAUACCAUCAACUCCAACCUGAUAUUUGACCUAGCCAUGGAAAACCUCAUUGGCUCCUCACUGGAUCAGACCAUAAAAAUGAUCCAGGAAUGAAAAUCUAAGAUAAAUUCCCACCACUUCAAGAUGUUCUUAUACAAGUCAACAGUCUAGCAGAUCAGCCAGUCUCUUUCAUCAUCAAGCAGACAUACUCAAGGUACCAACACAGCAAAGGCACAAAAUGUCUCUAUAUCAGUAUUUUUCAUGGUAUAUGUGAGACCCAUUAGUGAGGCAUGAAAUCAAUUCUGUGAGUCACAAUGAAC